rnacentral:lncRNA from 1 species
UGAUUUUAUAUAGUAAUUUUUUUCUAUUUAAAUAGAAAUUGAAUACUCUUAUGCAGUUCCUAAAAAAAAACUAAAAACAGGAUGAUCGCCAACAUAACCAAGUUUUUCUUGAAUUUCAUAAUCACAACAAAUUGAUAUGAUGGCUCCCUUUUACCUUCUAUGCCUUCUACGAUUAGUCAUUUCUCUUUUGAUUUUGAACGUCUUUCUGCAAUGACCGUUGAUAAGUUCCAUAAGUAACAUCUUAUGAGAGAUAUAUAAGCUGGAUACCAUUCUCUGUUAUCAUUUGCAAAUUGUUGACUGCAAAAUCAAACAAAAGCCAUGAAAGACAUUUAAAGGGAAAAUGCUAGGCUUGUACAUUUCACUGUCCAUCCCUGUGAUCCAAUUUCCAUUUUAACUUCUUCUCCCAAGUUCCUGGCUUACCCUGUUCUUUGCUCUAUUUUUCCCUUUGGCUACUACCUCACCAUCUAGCAUGACUUUCUCUUUCAAUGAUCACUGGUGGUAAUCGGAGUGUCUAAAGUUAGUUUUUUUUGCUAACAAAGCAAACAAGCAAAAAAGCCAACAAUCAAGACAUAACAUUGUCCAAUUUAAUUUUUUUUUUAUUGGUAGAUGCUGUAUCUAAACAUGGAUGUUGAUGGACUUGGUUUAAACAUCAGGUGACAUUAGUGGCUUUUGGUGAUCCCUUCUAGUCCACAAUUCUACACUGUUGGUCCAGUGCAAUCUCAUUCGUCUGCAGCCAAAAGCUCUUGUCCUGAUUACAAUUUUUUAGAGAGAAAGGUUAUAUGUAUACUAUAUCCAACCACCAAAGCUGAGAGCCAUUUAAAGAAAAAUAAUAAGAAGAAAGAAAUAAAACAGAUUCACAUCGAUUAUCACUGGAAACCAGUCGGUCAGGUAAAAAAAAUUUUAAAAGAGAAUUCGUCCCCCGUAAACAAAACAUCCUUUUUCCUUUUGGAAUUUCUAGAGUAGAAUUGGAUUUAAAAAAAAAAAAAAAAGAAAACGUAAAAAAUCGUCCAGUUUACACAUGUCUCUGCUGUUGUUUGAAUUUCACAUUGGCUGAUGAUGUUGUUGCGGCUGUUGUUGAUGAUGCAUGUGCUGGUUAUCGUAACCGAGUCCCAUCGGGUUGACGGCAUUACUGGAACCGCCACCUCGUUGCAACACUUCCUGAGCUUGGGGGCAAUGCGGCCUAGGCCCAGGCUCAGGUGUGUAGGUAAAGGUCAACCGUGUGGCGUAGAUGACACCGUCACUUCUCACCAACGAAAUAGGAACCUAUUCAAUUUUUUAAAUCAAUAAAAUCAACAAUUUCAAAAAAUGUACAAAAAUUCUGUUUUUGUUUUUUUACCUGUGUUGGUCCACGGACCCAUUGCCAUCCGGAACGGAAGGCUGAAAUAUCGGGCACGACGCACAGCAUCGACUCCUCACAGCGGAACAUGGUCUCUGCCUCCACGUCGCCAAACCACACUUUCAAAUUCGGUGUCAGAUUCUCGCCCAUUAAUUCCAGCAUUGCCACAUCGCCACCACCGUUCAACUAUUUAUUUUAAAAAAUAAAUAAACAAAUAAAUAAUAGUAAUAAAAUUAUCUCAAGUCCAUUUAAAAAUAAUAACAACGCAAAAGAGAUAGACAGGCAAGAAGAUGGUUAUGAAAAUAAUCAAAUGAAAUCAAAUGAAAUCAGAAAUUGGCGUUCCGCAUUGUUGGCCGCCAUCCCGUGUUGAUUGUAGUGGUCGGCUGGUGGUCAACGCUCAGCGACGGUCAACGAUAUAACAAAUCCGUGGGAAACGAAAACUAAGUAGCUGGAGUAGUAGCGGACACACACACACAGCAAAUCGCUCGCAUACUUUUCCCGUGGGAACGCAUUCGCCACCCAAAAAAUUGGAUAAUAUCACAAACUAAAAAAAAAAAACCCGAAGACGAAAGGAAAGAGGAAGGAAGGAAGAAACAUAAGUUGAAAAAAAUAAAAAAUAAAACACCUCUGUCACCAUUGCGCCUUCAUCGGCCCGAGCGUGAGAAGGUUAACGAUUCCCCCCAAAAACGAAACAACUCCGGACCAGAAAGAAAA